UUGCAUAUCCAAUCCUUAUUUUAAAUUUACACUUAAAUUUAUUUACGUGCAAAAAUAUUAAAAAGAUUGAGUAGUUUCUUUUUAAUUAAGAAACUCGUUUACA
rnacentral:rRNA from 1 species